UGCGGAUAGGAUCAAUGGGAUGAUGCACGAAUCGGUGCGCGACUCGACAAUAACAUUGAUGUUUAAUCAUAUCCACGGCCUGCAAUAAGGCACAUGUCCUAUCACCUAGUCAACAUGCUCGAGAUCCAAAUAGGUUAAUACAUAUGAAAGGGAUGUCAAAUAAAUUUGGAAGGUACAAGGGACAUAAGGUGAGAUGGACAAUGUUUGGUGAUGCUACAAGGUGACAGUUCCAUGGAUACCCGACUGAAAGGAUGGAAGGGCUUGGAGAAGGCCGCCCCCUGCCGCCACUGAGGACAACUACACUAAUACAGACAAGAGCGCCUCAACAGUUACACACUCAAGAGUUAGGGUUUUGCCGUAUGCAACUAGCUACCAUCUCCAACGCUUGUGCAAAACAGAAAAGAAAACUGCUAAGUCAGGAGCCGGACGCAAGGGUGAACGGUGUGCCGAGAGCUGGAGACACCCUGGACGAUGGAAAGAGGAAGGAGGAUCGGAUCACCUCGCCCACAGAGCCUCUCACCUCGACACACUGAGCAGAGGGACUGAAGUAUGCCAAUAUGGCCAGCUUUCAAGCAUCGCCCCUUGAAGCUCUCCCUGUGGUGAAGCUGAGGGAUCCCCCACAUUGCACUGUGGGAAAUGCCGACCUCAGCUCCGAACCACCCUUCAGAUAUCUUCAGGUAAACUAGUCUAUGCAGCAGAGUGGAUGAGGAAAACUAAAUAUUUCUUGGGGAAUAGAGAAAGCAGAAAAAAGGUCAAGGAAGAAGUCAUCAUCUUUGAAAGGCGGAGGGAGGAAAUCACAUGAUGAAAAAGAUGGGGACAGGUCUUCACUCAGGCACGGCUCGGUUUCUGAUGGGGUCUUUUCCCAGUGCGCCCUGGGAAGUGCGGUCCUCAGCUCUCCAGACUCAUGAAGGCCACCACCUGCUCCAGCUUGAAGGCCAGCCUCUGUUUCCGGGCUGCAUCGUCCUGCUCCAGUGAACACACAAUCUGCCAGCAGGACAGUGAGCUGCAGCCGCUCGAGGACAGGCCAGAUCUUUGGCUGGAUAAUUCUGGGCAUGUGUGAAGGAGAGAUGGAUUUGCCAGGAAGCAAGUCUUUAGAGCAAACUGAGCAAAGGAAAAGGCAGGUGGGUGAUGCUCAUAGCCUUUGCAAAGAGGUACAUCAACACCUGUUCAGUGCUGGAGGGCAGUUGUAGGAGCUCCUAGCAGGGGAUUGUUGGUGUUUGUUUUAGGAAAAAAUGUUUAUGAACAAAACUAAAAUCUCAUGCUUUAAUAAAGUGCUGUGAGCUUAGUUCCAAUAACAAUCCAAUAUUAGCCCAAGACUUGAACUGUUCUUUAUAGUCCUAAAGAUAAUGAACUUUGCAGCAUUUUUUGUUGAUAAGCUGGUAUGUCAGUUGUCUCUUAUGUCUCUUACAGG